GUAGGGAAUAUUGGACAAUGGGGGGAACCCUGAUCCAGCCAUGCCGCGUGGAGGAAGACUGCCCUCUGGGUUGUAAACUCCUUUUAUAUGGGAAGAACCGUCCUCAUUAAUGAGUGACCUGACGGUACCAUAGGAAUACGCACCGGCUAACUCCGUGCCAGCAGCCGCGGUAAUACGGAGGGUGCACGCGUUAUCCGGAUUCACUGGGUUUAAAGGGUGCGUAGGCGGAUAAAUAGGUCAGUGGUGAAAUCAACGGGCUCAACCUGUUAACUGCCAUUGAUACUGUGUAUCUUGAAUAUGAGAGAGGUAGGCGGAAUGUUGCAUGUAGCGGUGAAAUGCUUAGAUAUGCUACGGAACACCGAUUGCGAAGGCAGCUUACUAUUUCGUAAUUGACGCUGAGGCACGAAAGCGUGGGUAGCGAACAGGAUUAGAUACCCCGGUAGUCC
rnacentral:rRNA from 1 species